CACGCAGGCCCGACUGGCCAGCUGUCAAUCAAAAAACGAUGUCACGUGACCAGAGGGAGACCGUUUAAAAGACUGGGUGAAACGUUGCAAUUGGACUCGUCUGCUGAUCUUCUGCUCCUCCACCAGUACCACGGAUAACAGAGGACACCGACCCAACAUGAAGUCUCUCCAGUGUCCCGCUACGGUGCUUCUCCUCGCCACGAUUCUCCUUCUGGCCUCUCAGACAACCUCUUCUCUCAGUAUGGACCGCAUGCAGAAGCAGCGCACGCCAGCUACUGGAUCCAUGUCACAAGAAUGGAGUAAGCGUGCACUGGAGGACCUGCUAUCCCAACUCACACUGCCAGAAGGUGACAGCCAGCAGGAGGCUGAGGUGGUGUCCACGGUGACAGGGGGAGCCGGGACGGAGCUGGAGCGCUCUGUUGAUAAUACCCCCGAGACACUCCAACGAGGACGCAAGGCUGGCUGCAAGAA